UCGUGAGACAGUUCGGUCCCUAUCCGUCGCAGGCGUAGGAAAUUUGAGAAGACCUGUCCUUAGUACGAGAGGACCGGGAUGGACGUACCUCUGGUGUACCAGUUGUUCUGCCAAGGGCAUGGCUGGGUAGCUAUGUACGGAAUGGAUAAGCGCUGAAAGCAUCUAAGCGCGAAGCCAACUUCAAGAUAAGAUUUCCCACCGCAAGGGUAAGAC
rnacentral:rRNA from 1 species